CCAUUCCACGGUUUCCGUGACGCAGCUAACGCAUUAAGUUCCCCGCCUGGGGAGUACGGCCGCAAGGCUAAAACUCAAAGGAAUUGACGGGGACCCGCACAAGCGGCGGAGCAUGCGGAUUAAUUCGAUGCAACGCGAAGAACCUUACCAAGGCUUGACAUACACCAGAACGGGCCAGAAAUGGUCAACUCUUUGGACACUGGUGAACAGGUGGUGCAUGGUUGUCGUCAGCUCGUGUCGUGAGAUGUUGGGUUAAGUCCCGCAACGAGCGCAACCCUCGUUCUAUGUUGCCAGCACGUAAUGGUGGGAACUCAUGGGAUACUGCCGGGGUCAACUCGGAGGAAGGUGGGGAUGACGUCAAAUCAUCAUGCCCCUUAUGUCUUGGGCUUCACGCAUGCUACAAUGGCCGGUACAAAGGGCUGCAAUACCGUGAGGUGGAGCGAAUCCCAAAAAGCCGGUCCCAGUUCGGAUUGAGGUCUGCAACUCGACCUCAUGAAGUCGGAGUCGCUAGUAAUCGCAGAUCAGCAACGCUGCGGUGAAUACGUUCCCGGGUCUUGUACACACCGCCCGUCAAGUCAUGAAAGUCGGUAACACCUGAAGCCGGUGGCCCAACCC
rnacentral:rRNA from 1 species